rnacentral:rRNA from 2 species
ACGAAACUUGCCCCGAGAUGAGUUCUCCCUGAGACUUAGAGUCUCCUGAAGGAACGUUGAAGACGACGACGUUGAUAGGCCGGGUGUGUAAGCGCAGCGAUGCGUUGAGCUAACCGGUACUAAUGAACCGUGAGGCUUAACCUUACAACGCCGAAGCUGUU